CUUUCGCUUAUCCAGUGUGCGUCGUUGUCGUCAUUUUUGCAUUUAGUUCAGUGGCUUUCAGUUCAGCGCAGAAGAUUUUGGAACCAGAAGAUGCUGGUAAAACCAAGAGUAAUGUUGUUCAAGAUAAUAGUUUAGUGAAGAAUAUUUAACCAAGCAGAAAACAGUACCUUACUUGGUUCAGAAUUAAUGUGAAGAAAAAUAUUUUUUUUAUAUUAUUUCAUACACCCUUAUAUCAGUGUAUUUGCGGACAAAGGCAGUAAAUAAUUUAACGCCAGUUAACACAUCGAAUGUCUGCAAUAAGUAUAACAUAUUAUCGUCUCUAAACACUUACAUUAUUACAGAUUUAUUUCUAAUAAAUCUAUUGAUUUUUAUUACAGUAGCUUAACAUAACGAACAUAGUGAUGCCUCAUAUACCUUAGCUGAGAUAAACCUGACUGGCUACCAACAAAAACAUCUAUAAAAUAUUCCAAUUCAUUAAUGAUUGUACCGUUAAGAUUGCUUUAACUAUUUGCUAAAAGGACGGCUGUGAUGAGCGCAUUGAGUUUUGGGAAAUAAGCACAUUUCGGUGUAAUAACAUUCUUUCACCUAUACACUUAUUUCUCCGUGUCUCUUUGGUUUGAUAAUACCGUUAAUUCAACUAUAAAUACACGUAUUUGUAAUGAUGAAAUUGGAGCUAGCAUGUACAAUAUUUUAUUUUACUGACCAUUUGCUGAUUAAGGAAUCUCACAAAAAUUAAUGAAACACAAGCUGUACCCUAAAUGAAAUGCUCACCAUGUAAGCAAGGAAUGCACUAUUCGUAUGUAUGUGUACAGCGAAACAUAAAACAUCCAACUGCUUCUGAGAUAUGUGAAAAAGAUCGCCCUAAAGAAGUUUAAUGUACAACGUUCUGCCUAUAAUAUCUUAACCUUUAUUCCCGCUUAAACCAACGGCGUCUUUUUUUAAAUAUCAUGUAUUGGAAUGGAAAACGUUCAUACUUACUCCUAAAUUGCAUAGCUUGAAAAUUGAGACGACUCUGUGUACAUGAAAGGUUGACAGGAACGUUCUGCAUCAUGAAAAGAUAAGAGUACGAUUUUUGGAAGGUGCAAUUUUGGCACAUCUUAGCUUUGUUGCCCUAUAACUUUUAUAAUAUUUUUUAUACGUAUCCUUAUAAAUUAAUUUUAAAAUAUUAUAACCUUGAAAUUGUCAGGUUCACAGUAUUUUUAAGGACUAAAUAGACAAUACUUUAACACGUGAUUCUUCAAAUUCUCAUAGUUAGUUACUUUUUGCUUCUUUCUCUAACAUAGGUGUAUGUUUAGGCUGUAGUUAUUCUAUGUAUUCAAAAUAAAUUAAAUAAUUGUCCAAUGCUUAACAAGUUCUUCGAUAUUUAUUGAAGAGUUUUUUUAACUACGCAGUAUAAUUUAAUUUGAUAGUUUUUUAGAGAUGAAGCGGUAUCUGUUCCAAUUGUCAGUUUGACAAAAACAUGUUUACUAGGAUUUAUCUUCGUCGAUUUAUGUUCUACAUCCACCCUGUAGAUCCGAAUUUGUUUGAACUUAUAUUAAUAACAAAUUCGGUUCUAGAGAGGUUUGUGUGGGGCAUUUGUUAACAGCGGUUUAAAAUACAUAUCGACGAAUUCAGCGGUAAUGUUAAAAGCACAUAUUCAAUAGUUGGCAGGGAAUCGAAGUUCAACCAGUGAGUUCGGACUGUAUUUCUAAAACCAAUUUUGAUAUGUAAAUCAAUUGAAAUAUUUUCUCCAGCAAUAUAAAAUACAUAGUUUUGUGUCAGUUAUGUAAAAAGGUUAAGCAGACACUUCCAUUGUUAUGCCACUCCCAUGUUUUCUACAAUACUUCCAUGUUUUUUAUAUACAUCUCAAAAAAUUAUUAAAAGAAUCUUUAAGAAUUUUUGGAAAUUUUUUAAAAAUCAAACACCUUUAAGACAUCUUUUCAGCUUGUUUCCAGCUACCGUUUGAUCUCGUGCCGUUUGCUUUGGAACGUUUGCCAUGUCUUUGGCAUCGAAUGCGUGCGCGAAAUAGCAUGACGUUACCUUCGAAUUUUCAAUGCUCGACACGAUCCAAUAUAAGGAUGAAUUUUCAUUACCUUAUCAUUAUGUUACAUGAGAACGCUAUACGUACAUGUAUGCUUUUACAAAUUCUAAAAUUCUUUUGGUUAGAUGGAGGUAACGAUGAUUUUAUAUUUUCUAAUAUUAAGAUAUCUUUUAAUACUAGUUAAUUUGGUCAGAUCACAGGGUUAUGCAAAAUAAUAUCGGAGGCAUUUAAUAACUUUAGGAUGCGUGUUACGGAUUGUUCUUAAAGAUAACGUAAAUUUCAUGUGACUUUUAAUUCCAAGAGACAAACACUGCCCGAAAUUAAAAUGGUACCAGCAUGUUUUUUCAAAAUAAUUGUGGAAUUAUCAUGCUAAAAUAAACUAUUUAACUUUUUUAUUGCAUCUUACUUUAAUAUGUCAAUUGUACAUAUUUCAAUUACGGUGGAAUAUUCUCAAAAACAGAUGUGAAAUAAGAACGUAAAACCACAUAGAAAAGCUUUCUCAUUUCUGUUGUAAUUUCGUUGUAAUUGUUUAAUCCACGAAAAAAAUAAAUUUUCAAUCGUGUACAUUCUUGAGGAUCUAACUUGAAUGCAGCGGAUAUUAAGCUCUUCAACUUGUAUUGUUUAUAUUUCUGGAGUUUUAUUUCAUGAAUGAGUUGUCGUGAUAAUUGAUGAAAAAAACUGGCGAAAAAACGAAUGAAAGCAAUACAAAAUAUUAUUUUUGGUGUUUAAAACAUCCUGACACCAAAGCGGGAAAGUCUGACACUUGGUUGUAGGGAAAGAUGGACACCGAAUUUAUUGAUUUAUUUUACUUCUUAUAUCAAUUGGUGAUGAAUAGAUUUCUUCAAAUACCUUAACAAAAGGUAUUCCGAAGUUAUAAACCAAUCAGCAACUAGAAAAAGUAUUGAAAUAUGCGAGAAAUGAAACACCGGUCAAAAUGGUAGCCAUUCGUUAUGCUAUUACUCCAACAUCUUGUCACGACUUGGACAACUUUGAGCAAUAAAAAGAUGAGGCAUUGAUACGACAUCGUUGAGGAAUAGAUGAGAAAUUUUAUGGGAUUGCAAAUAUCAAAUGUUGAAUUUUGACAUGGCGGAAAAUGGCUUAAACUAUUAACGAGAUUCUUAAAAAUACUGGGGUCGUGGACUUUUUGCGGAGAAAUUUCCUAAAAGAAAGUUUUACAGUGUUGUUCUGUAAGCUGGAGCAACGUCAGCUGUUAGUACGCGAUAUUUCAAUAUUGCUUUAGAUGCUGCAUUCUACGAUGUAAUACAAGCCCCGCUUACAAUUUCUAAAUUCAUGACUGAAUGAACCGUCGUUGCAAUUGCCUUAGAAUUGGUACCAUACGUACCAUAAUGUGGAAAGCAAUAGGAUAUGUUAAAAUACUAUAAACCUCUUCAAUUUCCAACGUUUUUUAUAGGUCUAUCUUACCCUUCAUGGUGUCCAUCUUUCCCAUAUCAGGUAUCCGUCUUACCCGAACAUUUCAAAACUGCACGAAAAAAAAU